rnacentral:lncRNA from 1 species
CAGGGCCGUAACUAGCCCCUUUUAAUACUGAGGCAAAAUAUAUUCGUCGAGCGUAGCAAGGCGAAAAAUUUUUGGCGAGGGGUCUGGGGGCCGCUUAAGGCCCCCAGAAGUUCUGAGAAAAAUAACGCAAAAUCGUGCAUUCUGAGCAUUUCCCGGACUCUUUCUUACAUAGAAACGCAAAUCAUUUUUAGCUAUUUUUCGACAAUAUUCUGGUCUCAAAGCAAAAAACAUAGAUUCAUUGUUAUUUAAGACUUUAAAGUUUUAGGGAAAUUCAAAACAUUAAAAGACCGAUAUGUAGGAUAAAGCAAAAAUCGUAAUUCUCAUAAUCAUUAAUACCGGAUCUGUCUGUCUGUUCUUGUCUUGUAUUGUGCUGACUUGAGAUUUUUUAUGACUAGAUUUAAAUAUAGUGACAGUCAUUAGUGCAGUAAUAUAAGUUGAAUACUAGUACUGCUCAAGUCGACACUAGGGACCAUAUUGACCUUGUUUUACGGUAUUUAUGAUUCUUUCAUUAUUGAAGACCCUCCAGCAACUAUCAAGAUGAAGAACAGGAAUAAAAAAUUUGACCAUUGAUCAUUUGUAUUUUUUUCUAUACAUUGACAUUGUGUGCGAUUAGCUCCCGUGCACGUGUACUUCAUAUUCCUUUAUUUUCUGUUAAAUGGUCUGAACACGACUUAAUGCAAAUUUAACCCUUGAAUUUAAAAGGUCAUAUGGCAAUACAUUGAUGUUUUUUUUCAACAAAUGAUUUGAUACAGGGAAAUUGGUGGUCUUACUUUAAUUUAAACCAUGUCAGCUAUCUAGUUUUAUCCACAGGCGCUUGGAUAUAUGAUAUAGUUUGUUUUUUUUUUUUUAAUUUUGUUGUUGAUUAAUAUAUUCAAUUUUCUAUAUUUAUAAUACAUAUCUAUCACUUCUGUGCAUAUCUCACCUACAGAAAAUACCUAAUUUUGAAAUCCAUACUAAGAAAAAUUGGGUAUGGUUUUAUAUACAAGAAAGGCAGUUUCGUAUUCUUUGAUAUCAAGUUCAAUUCUCCAUGCAGAAACGACCACUUUUUUCUGUGUCCAGUAGCAUCGUAUAUUCUUAAAAUAUUUUCUCGCAUAAUGCCUGGACAUUGGUGGACAUGCAACAUUACACAGUGUGACAGGUUUACAAGUGAAAAUCAACACUCAGACUAGUCAUUAAGAAGGACAAUAAAUGAACAAAAGACAAACCCGGGACACAGAAGUACAAACAAUAGACCAACAACUCUGAAAACCAAAAGUAAAAUAGAAACAUGGAUUACGAAAGAUAUUCAGUGGCGACAUCAGAGAGUGAAGAGAACUUGCUUCUUGCAAGACACUUUCAGUGAAAACAAUUUGAUAUGAAGACAAUCAUAUGAAGACAAUCUUUUGUUUUAGUUUUUUUUUUUUUUUCGAAAUUGAAAAGAUGAGGCAUUUGCCUCAUUUGCCUCAAUGUAGUUACGGCCCUGGAGUUCA